AUGAAUACAUUGACGGAGAAAGUACGUUUAAUUGUGACUGAUGUAAGAGAGUUGUUCCAAAGGCUGAAAGAGCAACCAGGCAUAUAAACCGAAAGCUACUCCUGAGUGCAGCUAAUCCCUGCCGUUCACUGCGUUAAAGUGCUUAGAGAUAUGUUUGUCUGUGUACAAGCAUAAACUAGGGUGGUACCGCGAGAUAACAGUCUUCGUCCCUUUU
rnacentral:ncRNA from 1 species